UGCAGCUUCAGAGUGGCAUUAGGAAAGAAUUGUGUAGCAUAGGUGGGAGGCUAUGAAGCACCGGCGCCAGCUGGUGUGGAGCCAUAGGUGAAAUACCACCCUGUUGUUUUCUGAUGUCUAACCCAGGACCGUUAUCCGGUUCGGGGACCCUCUGUGGCGGGUAGUUUGACUGGGGCGGUCGCCUCCUAAAGAGUAACGGAGGCGCGCGAUGGUAGGCUCAGGACGGUUGGAAACCGUCUGUUAGAGUGCAAUGGC
rnacentral:rRNA from 1 species